AUCUCUCUCUGGGGAUUGCUCUUUGUGGAGUUUUCUUAUGAGCCUACAGCAGAGGUAAUGCCUUCACAGUUGAAAUAACCACCAGUGUUUGACUGAGGCUGAGAAAACUGGCAAAGUAACUUGACAAUGAGUUACGUCAAGCAGAGUAAUCAAGGAGGAAAAAUUCAUGGGCAUCUUUUUUACGUUUCCAAACAAGGACAAUUACAGGAAACUUCAAAAAACAGCUGUCAAAACAUCAGUCCUUGUAAUCUUGUCUGUUUAGAGGUUAAUAUAAGGUGUUAUUUAGGAAUGUAUACAUUAUGUCCUUCAUGUCUUACCAUGAAAAUUUGGAAAGAAUACUAAGUAGGUCUUAGUUUGCAAAACUAAUUGCCGAAACUCCCAGAUCCUGUUUGCAUCUUUACCAUCCAUUUGUUGAAUGACCUUGAUUUGAAGUAUGUAUUCCUUUUACUUAACUACUUUCAAAGUGACUAUAAUAACAAUGUCACAUGACACGGGGACUCCCUCAAUUUUUAUUAUAUACUUUGAAGUCCUUAAAAACAAACAAAAAAUAUGAAUGCUACUUCAGAAGUGGCUGAAUUCAUUUUAACUCAUAAUUACAAAAAGAAAAAAGCCUCAGUCUUAGUUUGAUUAAAAAUAUGAAUAAAUUUUUUU
rnacentral:lncRNA from 7 species